UACAUAACCGUGACCAUUGUUUCUCCAUAACCACCACCUCACCACACAUCCACCAUGAUCACCGCCAGGAGAUCUGUAAUAUUUUUUUAUAUUUCGGGUUCACUGCAUCUUUUUAUGUAACCGCCACCAACUCCUUUAUAUCUACCUCUACCGCCACUAUAGUAACCACCACCGCCGGGAGACUCUCUGUCUCUGCUUCCGCUAAACUGAAUUUCAUUAACGCAACUUCCAUCAUGGUAUGUACUAUUUACUAACUUUAGAUAUACAUAGUAUAGCAUUCGUGAGCCAUUUGAUUAUUUUCAUAAUAUGUACUAUAUACUAUUUAGCCUAUUCUAUUCUAUUUUUAUUUUUGUUUGCAUCUUUUUGAAGGAUGAACACGAGUCUACACUAGUUUUUCCGUUACAGCACCUACAAAUUCUUUUUUUUUUUUUGCGAUUGUUAAUGGUUGUUGGUGUUUUACGACAAUCACAAAAACGGUAUAAAUCGUUUUGAACCAUUCCAAAGGUCUGAAAAUCAAAAUCUGGUUUUGCGGUUGCGGGCGGUUACGGAUGAUUAAAUAAAUAUUAAAAAUUUCUAAAAAAAUUAAAAUUUCAAAUUUAAAAUAUUAUAAAUAAAUAAAUAAAAAUUACUGACUUUAAUUAUCAUCACCUGUGAUACAUAUGAGACUACAUAGUAGUUGUUAUUAUGGUUGUGGUGGUAGCCGAGAUGGUGCAUGUGGUAGUGGUGAUAAUUAACAUGUGGGAAGUAGUUAUGGAGAAAAUUAUACUUGUUGAAGAAGAAGAUGUUUUUUUUUUUGAUAAAGAAGAUGUUUAAAAGAAAUAUAAAUGGAAUGGAACAAACUAAAUAGUAUAAUAUAUAAUAUAUAUAUAUAUAUAUUACUAAAUAGACGCAGGAGAAGUCGACUUCUGUUCCCCAUUCGACAAAACGCACCGCGUUUCAUUUAUUUGCGAAUUGUUUGGUGCGGGCUUUGUUGUUUUUAUGGGCCUCUCAUGUUUGGAUGAAGAUACCACCUUAACAGCCCGAUAGGGGUCGACCCUCUCAUCGAACUUUAGGGUUCAUCCUCUCUCUUCGUUCUAUCGCCACGUCUGAUCUUCAUCUCCAUCAUCGAAACGGUUCCUGUUAUGAAUUCUCCGUGUUAAAUCUCUUAUUGAUUCAACCAACUACGAUGUAGCCUUGAAUGCACGAUUUUCUUCAGCUAGACGGUGUAUCAGCGAGUAUAAAAAGGCACCUUGAUAGUCGCCGUUUUCCUUCUUCGCCGUCAUCACUGCUCCUCUGACCGUGAAUGCAUCUGGAAAUUGUUUAAUCUCUCUUCCAUGUAAUCUCAAGGUUGAUGGUAGGAGAUGUUCAGGGAAAGCAGAGAAGCCAAUCUGACCAUGUUUUCCAACAAUUUGUGUUCGUGAUGUGGUGAUAUCACAGGCAUGCCAAAUGAUACCUUACUGCUUCAGCCGUCUCUAAUUUCUUCUAGGAGACGUUUUAGAAACAUUGGCAACAAGAGCAAGCGACCGGUCAUUGAUAGCGUAGACGUUUAAGAACUGAAACAAACUUGGGAGGAGGCACAUAAACUGCAGCGGCCGCCUCAAUCCACCAAACCGAGCAUCCGUAUAAGGGAAGAUCAAGAUUUUGAAGAAUAUGAUGAACAACCAGUCUUCGGGGAAAAAGACUGUUUUGCCUUACGUCAAACUAGGUGAUGCCUCCAUUUUCUGCUGUAGGAUUGAUCACUUAUGCACAAAGUGAUUUAAUCUGACUUCUUUCUCAGUCUUACGUCCCUUCUUCGACUUGUAGUAAAUGCUCAUGAAUGUGCCUAUAGCCUUGUUCUUCCUGCGGCAAUGCUCGUACAAGUCAGCGUCCAACAUUCUCCAGAAGCUUCUCUCGUCGAGCUCAGAUACUGCAUACUGAGGCUGGUAGCCAUGGUUUUCGAUCAGCCACUGCUCCAUCUUGCGCACUGCUUCUACUCCAUCGAACACUUCGCCUCUCAGGACAGGACCUGGAGCAUAGUAGACUCCAACGUCAGUGUACAUCUGUGCAUCUUCUGUGUCUCCUUGUCUCAUCUCAUACUCAAAUCCUGGUUCAGGGCUAAUCAUGCUUUUAACUGGUUGUUUGAAGAGUUUGUGAGGGCACAGCCAAAGUGGAUAAUACCUAAACAAUAUAUAUAUAUAUAUAUAUAUAAAAAAAAUUAGGAAAAAUAUUACCCAAAAAAAAUAAUUAGAAAUAAGUUCUUAACAUUUCAUAAACAUAUUUUAUGAAUUUUAAUAAAUAAUUUCUUUCAAAA